GAUGAACGCUGGCGGCGUGCCUAAUACAUGCAAGUCGAGCGAACAGACGAGGAUCUUGCUCCUCUGACGUUAGCGGCGGACGGGUGAGUAACACGUGGAUAACCUACCUAUAAGACUGGGAUAACUUCGGGAAACCGGCGCUAAUACCGGAUAAUAUAUUGAACCGCAUGGUUCAAUAGUGAAAGACGGUUUUGCUGUCACUUAUAGAUGGAUCCGCGCCGCAUUAGCUAGUUGGUAAGGUAACGGCUUACCAAGGCAACGAUGCGUAGCCGACCUGAGAGGGUGAUCGGCCACACUGGAACUGAGACACGGUCCAGACUCCUACGGGAGGCAGCAGUAGGGAAUCUUCCGCAAUGGGCGAAAGCCUGACGGAGCAACGCCGCGUGAGUGAUGAAGGUCUUCGGAUCGUAAAACUCUGUUAUUAGGGAAGAACAAAUGUGUAAGUAACUAUGCACGUCUUGACGGUACCUAAUCAGAAAGCCACGGCUAACUACGUG
rnacentral:rRNA from 1 species